UCCGGAAUGGUCUAACGGUCAUGAUUUCCGCUUGUCACUUCCAACUAACAAGCGCGGGAGACCAGGGUUCGACUCCCUGUUCCGGAG
rnacentral:tRNA from 1 species